ensembl:snRNA U6 U6 spliceosomal RNA
GUGCUCACUUUGGCAGUAACUAUAGUAAAAUUGGAACAGUAUGAAGAAGACCAACAUUGCCCCUGCACAAAGAUGGCACACAGACAUGUGAAAAAAAAAAAUGGUGC